ensembl:lncRNA
GGAACACUACAGAAAUCCCUGUCCACAUCCAUGAGAUUGUACCCAGGCAGUGCAGCUUCAGACAAGCGUACUCCACAGACACACAGACGGGCUAUGACUACCGUAGGCACAAAACCAUGCCUUGUCAAACAAAUAGCAAUACGGCUGCCAUCUACUGAUUCUCCUGAAAGGAGCCCCAGACAUACUGCUCCAGUUCACAUCUGUCCAUGGGAGUCAGAGGAGGUGAUCUUGGAGGUCAAGAAGCAGAAUGUGAACGACAGUGUGUUACAAAGACAAUACAGUGGCAAGCAAGUACUAUCUGGAACAGUAAGUAAUGAUGUCUUCAAACCCCCUGAGUUUCAACUUAAAUCAUUAUUGGCUGUUCCUAAUACAGAAGUGUGUCCAUGGGAUGUUCCAAAACCUUUUCAUCAAACCAGCAUUUCUGAAGUAUGUCCUUGGGAGGUGGUGGAAGUAGAGCAAUUGCAAAUCAAAAGCAUAAAUACUGAUGUCUGUCCUUGGGAAACCGAUGGUGACCCAUCAAGAGUCACUGAAGACAAUAUAUGUAAUACGAAUGUUGAAGGCCCUAUGUCUGAAGACACCCAGAAGCAGGUAAAUGUGAAGCCUGAAUCAUGCUCUUCCGUACUUGACACAAAUAUCUCUCAGGUUAGACCGGGAUCGAUCAAAACCCCUAGUGACACAAUAAAACCUGGUGAAAGGGUAAUUUAUGUUAAUGCAAAACAAAGUCUAGUAGACCAAGAACUUGGUCCUGAACUACCCCCACCUGUAACUGAAGUAAGUCCUUGGGAGUCUGAUCCAAACACAAAAGAUGCUACAAGACGGUCUUUAAAAGAGCCAAUGAUUAAGAAAUCAACUGCUUGUCCGUUGGAAGCUGAGUAUUCUGAGAAGUCAGAAGAGAGGCAGGGUUGUACAAACAACGGACCAAUAAAAGUAGAUAAAAAACAAGAAAAUGUUUAUGUAAAUGUGUGUCCGUGUGAAACAAGUGAGUCUGUGAAGACAACACAGAAACAAGAAAGUGUCUGUGGAGAAGUCUGUCCAUGGGAGACAAGUGAAACAUUCAAGAACUUACAGAAGCAAGAAGGUCUUGAAAAUGUUUGCCCUUGGGAAACAGAAGAGAUAAAGACCUUGCAGAAACAAGACAGUGUUUGUACCGAUAUUUGUCCAUGGGACACAGGUGAGCCAGUCAAGACCUUGAAAAAACAAGAUAGUGUUCUUGCAGAUAUUUGUCCAUGGGAGACAGGAGAGCCAGUCAAGACUUUGCAGAAACAAGAAAGUAUCCAUGCAGAUGUUUGUCCUUGGGAGACAAGAGAACCAACAAAGACAAUGCAGAAACAAGAUAGUGUUCUUGCAGAUGUCUGUCCUUGGGAGACAGGU